rnacentral:misc_RNA from 1 species
UUUCCGUAGGUGAACCUGCGGAAGGAUCAUUAAAAAAUGUGGUACCAUUUGUUGGUACUAAUUAAUCAUCCUACCCUUUGUGAAUUUGUUUGUAAUGAAUUUUUUUAAAUGGGUCUUUCCCUAAGUUGGAUUGUAGUAAAAUACAAAAAGACUUAGGGGAAUGACUUUUUUAAAAGACUUUUUUUUAAAUUAAAACUUUUUGUAUUCAUUUGUCUAAAAUUUAUUUUUAUAAUAUAAAAACAACUUUUGACAAUGGAUCUCUUGGUUCUCGCAACGAUGAAGAACGCAGCAAAAUGCGAUAAGUAGUGUGAAUUGCAGAAUACGUGAAUCAUCGAAUCUUCGAACGCAUAUUGCACUUUUUUAGUUUACUAAAAAAGUAUGUCUGUUUGAGUAUCAGUAAAAUAUUCUCACAAAACAUAUAUUGUUUGUGGUUAUGAGUGUUUUACAACGAUAAACAAGUUGUUUCACUUUAAAUUCUUUUUAAUUGAAUUUUACCAAUUCAUAAAUUAAAAUUGGAUAAAAUUUUCCUUUAACGAGGAAUAACCUAAACAAUUUUAAAUUUUAUGGAUUAAUAAACAUUCAUCAAAGGAAUCUAUUAUACAUAAAUAACUUGAUCUCAAAUCAGAUAAGAGUACCCGCUGAACUUAAGCAUAUCAAUAAGCGGAGGAAAAGAAACUAACAAGGAUUCCCUUAGUAACGGCGAGUGAAGCGGGAAGAGCUCAAAUUUGAAAUCUUCAAGGUUUGACCUUGACGAAUUGUAGUUUGUAGAAGUGUUUUCUGUUGGAGUUUUGGUAAAAGUUCUUUGGAAUAGGACAUCAUAGAGGGUGAGAAUCCCGUAUUUGACCAUGACUUUCCAGCUGUGUGAUACACUUUCAAAGAGUCGGAUUGUUUGGGAAUGCAGUCCAAAAUGGGUGGUAAAUUUCAUCUAAAGCUAAAUAUUGGCGAGAGACCGAUAGCGAACAAGUACCGUGAGGGAAAGAUGAAAAGAACUUUGAAAAGAGAGUUAAACAGUACGUGAAAUUGUCAAAAGGGAAGCGUUUGACACCAGUGUUGUUCUCUCGAAAAUCAAUUUAAUGAGUUCUUGUUUUUAAGUUAUUGUGACUUUAUCAGCGCAUUUCUUAUUUUACUUGACUCAUUGAAUGCACUUUUCGUUUAACAAGUCAACAUCAAUUUCUUUGGUGGUAAAAAGUUUAAAGGAAGGUGGCUUGGACUUCGGUUCAAGUGUUUAUAGCCUUUUUUCUAUGCCAUCGGAGAGAUUGAGGUCUGCAGCGUAGAUCCUUCGGGGUUAGAUACCUUUGUGCUAAGUUAUAGUUUUUUAUAGACAACUUGUUGACUAUAAUUAACCCUGUAAUUUACUCGCUUAGGCUAUUUUACCUACGCUUAGGAUGUUG